UCUAACAUGUGCGCGAGUCAUUGGGACUGCAAGCCUAAAGGCGUAAUGAAAGUAAAGAUCGAUUUAUUGUCGAUUGAGGGAGGAUGAUUCGCGUCACGAUGCGAAUCCGCACUCCCGGGGCGUCUCGAACUCAUUGCGAGUUGAGGCGCACCCAGAGCGUACACGUUGGGACCCGAAAGAUGGUGAACUAUGCCUGGUCAGGACAAAGUCAGGGGAAACCCUGAUGGAGGUCCGUAGCGAUUCUGACGUGCAAAUCGAUCGUCGGAACUGGGUAUAGGGGCGAAAGACUAAUCGAACCAUCUAGUAGCUGGUUCCCUCCGAAGUUUCCCUCAGGAUAGCUGGCGCUCGCUCUCGAAGCGAGUCUCAUCUGGUAAAGCGAAUGAUUAGAGGCCUUGGGGCCGAAACGACCUCAACCUAUUCUCAAACUUUAAAUGGGUGAGAUCUCUGGCUUGCUUAAAUUAUGAAGCCAUGAGAUUUUGUGGAUCAGAGUGCCAAGUGGGCCAAUUU
rnacentral:rRNA from 1 species